rnacentral:rRNA from 1 species
GAUGAACGCUGGCGGCGUGCCUAAUACAUGCAAGUCGAGCGAACAGACGAGGAGCUUGCUCCUCUGACGUUAGCGGCGGACGGGUGAGUAACACGUGGAUAACCUACCUAUAAGACUGGGAUAACUUCGAGAAACCGGAGCUAAUACCGGAUCAUAUAUUGAACCGCAUGGUUCAAUAGUGAAAGACGGUUUUGCUGUCACUUAUAGAUGGAUCCGCGCCGCAUUAGCUAGUUGGUAAGGUAACGGCUUACCAAGGCAACGAUCCGUAGCCGACCUGAGAGGGUGAUCGGCCACACUGGAACUGAGACACGGUCCAGACUCCUACGGGAGGCAGCAGUAGGGAAUAUUCAGCAAUGGGCGAAAGCCUGACGGAGCAACGCGGCGUGAGUGAUGAAGGUCUUCGGAUCGUAAAACUCUGUUAUUAGGGAAGAACAAAUGUGUAAGUAACUAUGCACGUCGUGACGGUACCGAAUCAGAAAGCCACGGCUAACUACGUG